rnacentral:lncRNA from 1 species
AGGAAGGCAGUAAGCAACUGUUCUCCUGCCUUGAGUUCCUGCCUCAGCUACCCUGGGAUAGACUGAAACCUGCUGUCACAAGAAAGCUGCCAUGGUUCAUUAAGGAGUUCCAGAAGUGGACAGAAGCAUUCUCGAUCAUUUCUUAUAAUAGACAUUUUUUGAAAACCAAAGAGGUAUGCAGAGGCUCGGGGAGACCAGAAGAGGGCACGGGAUCUUUUGGUGCUGGGGCUUCAGGUAACUGUGAGCUGCCCAACAUGGGUGCUGGGACUGAGUCCUUUGGAGGAUAAUCUAGCAACUAUAACAGCUAAGCUGUCGUCAGGACUCAAGAUGCAUAUUUCUACUUAUGUCAUUUACAAAACAGAUGUCACCAAUAAAGAGAGUUUAUCCCAGGGCAUCUGAAUGAACAUUGGCUUCUGAUGCCUGGGACUCCUCACAUCACAGCAGACUCAGAAGCAGAGCUGAGCGCUCAUCCCUAAUGAGCUCUUACCAGCCCACUUCCUCGAGUUAGGUUCUACAUCCCAAAACUCCUUUGUACUCACAGCUCCUUAAAACAGUGCUAAAAGACAGGUCCAAGAUUCAAACACAUCACUCUUGGAUGGCUAGUGUGUCUACAGUCAUCCGAGAAAAGGAAACGCCAAUUGAGAAAGUGGCUCAUCAGUGUGGCCUGUGGGUAAAAGCUUUCAGGGCAUUUUCUUGUUCGAUGAUUGCUGUAUUUGAGUUCAGUUCACUGUGAACAUGGCCAUCCCUGGGGUCAUGAUCCUGGGUAUAUAAGAAAGCAAACUGAGCAAGCCAGGAGGAACUGGUCAAUAAGCAAUGUCUGCCUCAGUUCCUGCCUUGAGACCAUUUCCUGAUGUUCCUCAAUUAUGGACCUGAAAGUUGUAAGAUGAUAUAAAUUCUUUUCUUCCCAAGUUGCUUUUGGUCAUAUUUUUUACUGUUGAAACAGACCCCUAACUAGAAAGAGCCUCUAGGGGACAUUCCCUAUUGAAACCAUAAUGUCUUUGAUCCUGUUCCCCAGAGGGAUAUGACCAUCUCAUUAUGAAUAAUAUACUUAGUGCAAAUUCUCAUAGUCUUGCAGUUUCCACACUGUCAAAGACCAAAUUUAAAUUUGUCUUUUAAGACUCAAGGCAAUCUCUUAACUAUGAGCCCAUGUACACUCAAAACACAAGUUACUUAUUUUCAACAAAGGAAGGCAUAGAGUAAACAUACCUAUUCCAAAGAGGAGGAAAGACUGGAAUAAAGCAAGUUCAGGAUCCAGAAGAGCAGACACAAAAUCCUGAAGGGCACCUGCCCAGUGGCUGAAGCUCUUGAUGACAACACAAGGGAUUCAAGGGUCUUGGCCAACUGCAGCCUAUGUGGCAGACUCAGCACAUGCAACUUUUCAUUAUCCUUGGGUUUCUACUGCAACUCAGGCUUCACCUCACUGCUCCACACAGAGCCCACUCCUGAGCUCCACAUGGGGUACCUGACUGAUUUCUUUGGCUUCCUGGAACCUCGGAGCAAGCCUCACGUUUAUACCUUGCCACCUUCUGCUGCCAGGUCUUGAUGUAGCCUCUCGCCACCCCUGCAGCGGCCUCUGUGCACCUUCAAGGUCGAGCUUGGGAUAAUGCUUGUCUUUUGCUCCUCUUUGAGCAAGAGUGUUGGGAGCUUGUUUUGUUUACCCAGUCCCUUUCCAUGUAAGCCUGUGUUUUUGCACCCCAGAGCUUUUGAUGGUUUGACUGCUGCCUUCCAGGGUCUUUUCCUGGUGUCCUGUUGCACAGUAUGUGGGGUCCUGAAGAGGUCAGGGCACUGAUCUCAACAAUCACAGCUAUGCAUUCUUACAGCCAUUUCUGAAACCCAAUUUAAGUUCCUUUUCUCACUGAACUUCAUGCUUCUGACACAUAUUCUACUCUUCUUCACUGGAAAUCUGGCUGAUAGAAAUGACCAGUAGCCAUGGCACAGACUGACUGUUAUGGCCUUCAAAAUUCCUCUGCCAAAGAGUCUAGUCCCUGCCUUUUGAAUUCAGCCCCAGGCAAAUGAUCAGGGCAGGCAAAUGUGGCAAGGUUACUUGCCAGCAUGUCAGAUGAACGGCCUCUAGCCCAGUCCCGAGAAGAGUCCUUGUUAAUUUAUGGAAUAGUUUGUAUUUGAGGAGUUUUGAAGAAUUGGUGCAAGUUUCUCAGAAAAGGUGAUGCCAGAGCCAGGUUUGAUCAUGUGAACUGGCUCUAACAGAAUUCCCUGGACUGACAUAAAUUAAUGUCUCAUAGUUCUGGUUCCAACUCCGAGAUCACAGCAUGGAAAGAGCUGGCAUCUGCUGCCGGCCUGAUUCACAGGUGGUUGUAUUCUGUUUGGUUCCUGUCUAAUAAAACACUAGGAAG